UUGGUAGCAGCACCUGCGCGCUGGGGCCCCGCUGCUGCUCCUCCCUGCUCGAUGCACCUGCCCCGUCGCCCCCGCCUGCACGUCCGAGCUUUAAACUGGAGUAAGUUUCAUGUUCAACUGUUCGUGUGGAGGCAUGAGUAGUGCGACUAUUGCAGCAUUUAACCUAGCCUGCCGAGUGCUCUGCAGCGGCGGCAGCCUACUGAAAUCCAGUGCACUAAUGUGCUGUCAGCCGAUCAGCAUCAGAGCUGCUGCUGGCAAGAACAAGUACCCGCUAUUUUGUCUGCAGCUGUUGUUGCCUACCGGCGCUCCCAUUGUCUGCUUCCUCUGCUCGGCCGACAGUAUGUAUCGGCGUAGUAGGAAACAAUGGCUAGUUUAAUUAAACACGGAGUCAGUCGGAGCUACGUAGCCAAACACUGCUGGUUAAGCGAACCGUGACCGUGAGCAAAUAAAAGCACAGACAGCGCGGCGUAUUUGAAAAGGACGUGUCGAUCGAAUCACCUGAGACAAAGCUGCAGCGUGUCUCCGUCUCCGCGGCCGUCGUGGUGUUCAAAUCAUGGCGGAAAUCUGCUCCUCCCUCGGCGUCGGCGCUAGAAUCCCGCAAGCCCUGCAAGCCGGGAACAACAACGCGGACAAGAGGCGGCGACGACGCUACAGGUUAGAAAAGAAGAGGAGGGACAAGGCCACUGCCGGGCCGGCCUUCUCUGCAUGCUUAUCGUUUAGCGAGACGGUGAGGCUACUGCCUCUCGUUCUCGCUUUGUUUGGUGAAUCGAUAUGGCGGUAUGGUCCGUAUGGACAGUGAGAUGGGCUUGCAAAAUGAAGAACAGCAUGGCGACUACACACACAUAUGUUGCAGUACGUGUCGUAUCGUAUCUGCAUAUAUUCUACGUAUAUGAUUCAAUUUCAACAUGAGGAGCUAGUAGCCGGCGGCCGGUAUGCAUACCAUUGCCAUUUGUAUAGGAUGUAUGUAACACAGUAACACACUAACAAACACUUACCGCAAGAAGGCACUGAAGGUCCCCGCAGACGGUCGCCGGACGCCGAGAGGGAGGCGUCGUCGUCGCCGCCGCCAUCCGCUGCCGCUUGUUGCGACGGGCGCUCACUGGAGCGAUGGCGUCGUGCAGGUAGCCACUGGACGCCUCCGACGGCGAGCACUGCACACCUGCUGCAGCAAGCACGCGAAGCCGGCUUACAUACUUGAGCUCACUCCGCUACUAAUCUCCAUGAUGCCCUAGCUAGCUAGUAGCAGUAGUAGCAGGUCUAGCGGCGAGAGCAUGCCAGUCCCUCAGCUGAGCACUUACGCGUCUCCGGGAAGACGGCGGCAGCUCCAGCGCCUUCGAGAGUGUGGAACAGCAGCUCCGAGGCCCAGUCCCAGCAAUCCAGCGGAGGCAACACCCAACAGUCGUCGUAAGAGCAGGUAUCUAGGGCCAUGGCGUGUUGUUGUUGCCGCCGGGGCCAGGUGAGAUGGCUUGUUUGUCAUCUACAUCUACUGGGAGAGGCGUCGUGUCCUCUAGCCCUCUUAAAACAGGGAGAGAGGCUCGGCCCUUUUUCUUUUGGCGGAGCACCAAAAGCUGUGUCAAAUUGGCCGUGGCCGGGGCCGGGUAGAUGAAAUGUAAAAGGAGAGUUGUUGCUACUACGAAAUAACUCCAGUCCAGUGGCUUGCACUGCUACCUCUACGUACUAGCCCUGUUGAUGUUUUGUUCGUAUAUAUCCAUGUGUUGCAGCACACGGGGACAACAGCAGCAUGCAACACCAGUAGGCGCGCGGUAGCUUUAGCCCCCAUCAUCCCAUGUACUUGUUACUACAUGAAUCACCAGUAAUUGAUGGCCAAAGGACUAACAGUAUGUGCACAGCAGUGACAGCGGCAGUGGCAGUUGCAGAGAUUGCUCGGAUCACAGGGUGGUCUCCGGUACCAGAACAUCAUUGGUUUCAAAUGAAGAUUGUUAUAAAUAAAUGCGACACAAAUAGGAUCAAUCACAGAGAAAACACGGAUUUAACGUGGAAAAACCCCUCCAAAGUGAAGGGUAAAAAACCACGGGCGCUGGCCGGCAACUUCUCACUAUUUUCGGGUGGUUACAGAUCGCAGGAGAUUUACAAUUGAGAUGGAUAUAUCCUGCGGCUUGCAAAGAUAUUUAUAGAGGUGAAACCCUAAAACGAUCCGUGCCUCCCGGCGACGGGCCUCCGCUUCGCUCACCAACUUGGCCGCCUUCUUCAGAAUUUGGAUCACAAACUCAACAAAGAUGGCCAUAGCGCGGCUCGGGAAAGGGCGUUCUUGGUCCCGGCCUGCUGUGUUGUUGACACCACCUACUUGAAUUACCACAGUUACUAGUACAGGAUUCUGCCCAGAUGUAAAUGCUCACCUUUUGCAUGCCAAGCUGGAAUUUCGAGUGCUGCAGAUACUACUUGUAUUGUUCGCCCA
rnacentral:lncRNA from 1 species